rnacentral:rRNA from 1 species
AAUCAACGCUGGCGGCGUGCCUAACACAUGCAAGUCGAACGCGAAAGGGGCUUCGGCCCUGAGUAGAGUGGCGAACGGGUGAGUAACACGUGGGUGAUCUACCUCUGAGUGGGGGAUAACGUUCCGAAAGGAACGCUAAUACCGCAUGACGUUCCGGGUUUGAAGACCGGGAAACCAAAGUCGGGGACCGCAAGGCCUGACGCUUGGAGAGGAGCCCGCGCCUGAUUAGCUAGUUGGUGAGGUAACGGCNCACCAAGGCAACGAUCAGUAGCCGGCCCGAGAGGGCGGACGGCCACACUGGGACUGAGACACGGCCCAGACUCCUACGGGAGGCAGCAGUGGGGAAUUGUUCGCAAUGGGCGCAAGCCUGACGACGCAACGCCGCGUGGAGGAUGAAGGUCUUC